rnacentral:rRNA from 1 species
AACGAACGCUGGCGGCAUGCCUAACACAUGCAAGUCGAACGAGACCUUCGGGUCUAGUGUCGCACGGGUGCGUAACGCGUGGGAACCUGCCCUUAGGUUCGGAAUAACUCCCCGAAAGGGGUGCUAAUACCGGAUAAUGUCUUCGGACCAAAGAUUUAUCGCCUUUGGAUGGGCCCGCGUUGGAUUAGCUAGUUGGUAGGGUAAAAGCCUACCAAGGCGACGAUCCAUAGCUGGUCUGAGAGGAUGAGCAGCCACACUGGGACUGAGACACGGCCCAGACUCCUACGGGAGGCAGCAGUGGGGAAUAUUGGACAAUGGGCGACAGCCUGAUCCAGCAAUGCCGCGUGAGUGAUGAAGGCCUUAGGGUUGUAAAGCUCUUUUACCCGGGAUGAUAAUGACAGUACCGGGAGAAUAAGCUCCGGCUAACUCCGUG